CAGCGUCACGAGCGGCAACCAUAUUUAUUGGGCCUAAAGCGUCCGUAGCCGGUUUGAUAAGUCUUUUGUGAAAUCGUUGCGCUCAACGUAACGUUGUGCAAGAGAUACUGUCAGACUUGGAAUUGGGAAGAGUUAGAGGUAUUCUGGGGGGAGCGGUAAAAUGCUAUAAUCCCUGGAGGACCACCAGUGGCGAAAGCGUCUAACUAGAACAACUUCGACGGUGAGGGACGAAAGCCAGGGGAGCAAAACGGAUUAGAUACCCGAGUAGUCC
rnacentral:rRNA from 1 species